GACGAACGCUGGCGGCGUGCCUAACACAUGCAAGUCGAGCGGGGAGAGAUUUUCGGAUUUCUCUUUAGCGGCGGACGGGUGAGUAACACGUGGGUAACCUGCCUCAAAGAGGGGGAUAGCCUUCCGAAAGGAAGAUUAAUACCGCAUAAUAUCAGGAAGCUGCAUGGCAUUCUGAUUAAAGGAGCAAUCCGCUUUGAGAUGGACCCGCGGCGCAUUAGCUAGUUGGUGAGGUAACGGCCCACCAAGGCGACGAUGCGUAGCCGACCUGAGAGGGUGAUCGGCCACAUUGGAACUGAGACACGGUCCAGACUCCUACGGGAGGCAGCAGUGGGGAAUAUUGCACAAUGGGGGAAACCCUGAUGCAGCAACGCCGCGUGAGUGAUGAAGGCCUUCGGGUCGUAAAGCUCUUUGAUCAGGGACGAUAAUGACGGUACCUGAAAAACAAGCCACGGCUAACUACGUGCCAGCCGCCGCGGUAAAAC
rnacentral:rRNA from 1 species